rnacentral:miRNA from 1 species
AGCGCUUAUGAGGAUGACUUC